UCCAAUGGUAAGUGGACAUGAACUGCC
rnacentral:piRNA from 1 species